rnacentral:rRNA from 1 species
UACAGAGGUCCCGAGCGUUGUUCGGAUUUAUUGGGCGUAAAGGGUGCGUAGGUGGCGCCAUAAGUCGGGGGUGAAAUCCUGGAGCUCAACUCCAGAACUGCCUUCGAUACUGGCGACCUUGAGUCCGGGAGAGGUGAGUGGAACUGCGAGUGUAGAGGUGAAAUUCGUAGAUAUUCGCAAGAACACCAGUGGCGAAGGCGGCUCACUGGCCCGGUACUGACGCUGAGGUGCGAAAGCGUGGGGAGCAAACAGG